rnacentral:rRNA from 1 species
AGAAAAAUUUUUAUUUGUUUAUUUUAAUAAAUAGAUAAGAAACAGAUAGUGUUUUUUUAUAAUAAAUAAAAAAGAAAAAAAAAAUAAAAAGGAUAGCUAAGAUAAACUAAGAUUAGACGAUAUAUUUUUUGAAACGGUGGAGAUUAGAGGCUGAAAUAGUUAUUGUUUCUAAGGGAAAGCGAGGCGGAAGUUUGAACGGAAACAUCUUAAUAUUAAGUAAAAAUCAAACGAGAGCCCGAAAGUAGCGGCGAGCGAAAUUGGGGUAUCAUAUAAUAAAAAGACUACGGGUUUGUUUUAUAUGAUAGUUGUAUUAAAGGUGAUCAUAGAUCUAUACUAAACGUUAGUUUAUACUGAUAGUGUGAGUACUGUAAAGGAAAGCUGAAAGAGAGUUGAAAAGAGCUUGAAUUUAUUAUUUUUAAAGCAGUUUUGAAAUAACGUACCUUUUGUAUAAGGGAUAAAAAAGAUUAAUUUGGCGGAUUUAAAAAGGAAGGUUAAAAGAAAUUUUUAUUAGUCAAAGUGCCCGAAACCAAGUGAUUUAAUCAUAGAUAGUAUCAGAACAAACUGGUGGUUGUGACAAAAAUCUCAGAAAAUCUGUGAUUGGGGGUGAAAAACUAAUCGAACUUGGACAUAGCUGGUUUUCUGCGAAAACUAUUAAAGUAGUGUUCUUUUUUUUUUGUUUAAAUUGUCAUAAAAUAAAAAAACAAACAAAAAAAAGUAGACAAACAAAAAAUGAAAAGAUUUUUUGUUAAAAGAGAGAGCUCAAAUCAGAAGUUAAGGUCAUUUUUCUUUUUUAGCGUUAAAAAAAUAAAAAUUUAGAUAAUAAAAAAGUAGGCUUGGAACCAGCCAUCUUUGAAAAAGUGCGUAGUUGUUUAUUUAAAAAUUUUAAACUUUUAAAGAUUUUGGUGGCUAAAAUAGAACUAAAACUCUGAAAAUAAAACUUAUUUUGUAGCAGAAUGAACUGUUUUUCAGUAGAGAUUAUUUUUAUAUGAGUAAUAUUAAUAUUAUUGUUUUUCUUUAGAUUACCAUUUUUUGGGUAAAACAGCCUUUUAGAAUAUUUUUAAUGAGUUUUUUUUUGAAAAUAUAAAAUAUCAGGAAAAAGAAAAAAGAGAACUGUUUUUCUAAUUAAAGAAAGAGAAAAAAAAAAGAAACUUUUUUUAAGGAACUCGGCAAAGAAGGACUUCGACUGUUUACCAAAAACAUAGCUUUUUGAUUUUUAUAAAAGGUGAUACCUGCCCUGUGGUUGUAUCUAAAACAAAUUGGUUUUGCUUAUUAAUAAAGACAAUUAAAUGGCCGUGGUGACACUGACUGUGGUAAUGUAGCGUAAUCAAUUGUCAAUUAAUUGUUGACCGGUAUGAAUGGUGUUACGAAAGUUUUUCUGUCUUAAAAAAAGAUUUAAUGAAAUUGAAUUUGUGGUGAAGAUGCCACAUUAAAAUUGUAAGACGAGAAGUCCCCAUGGAGCUUUACUGAAAGCUUAUUUUAAAAAACUUUUUUUUUAUAAGCAGGACAGUUUUGUUGGGGCGACAGUUUUUUAAAAAGUAACGAAAACGAACUAUGACAAACGUUUCACUUUGAAAGUUUUUAGGAGACAUUAUUGGUGUGUUUUAUGAUCCGUUGUUUUGAAUGAAAAAAAUAACGAAAACAGAUAAAAGUUACCCUGGGGAUAACAGCGCAAUAGCGUUUGAGAGUUAAUUAACGACGAUGUUUGCGACCUCGAUGUUGAAUUGCAGUGUCCUAAGGUGUAGUCACUCUUAAGGGUUGAUUUGUUCAYUCAUUAAAACUGUACAUGAUUUGAGUUAAAAGCGUGGUAACACAGCUUGGUUUCUAUCUACAAUAUGAAGAAACAUUGAUAUAACUAUCUUCUGGUACGAAAGGAUUGAAGAAUUAGCGGUCCUCUUAUUUUGGUAAGUUACGAUCGAAUUUAAGUUAAUUACUGAUUACUUCUUAAGUGUGAAAAAGAUAUUGAAUUGUUUUAAAUGGUUUUUUUUGGUUUGUUUUUUU